GUUUAUCCCAUUCCAGAUUGAAUAUACCCGAUCUCGUCUGAUCUGGGAAGUCAAGCAAUCUCGGGCUUGGUUAGUACUUGGAUGGGUGACCGCUUGGGAAUACCAAGUGUGAUAAGCA
rfam:Ciona savignyi cont_36960, whole genome shotgun sequence.